AAAUGUUCUGAAAUCAUAAACUCAUGUUCUUUGAAUUUGGUAAAUGGAUAAGUUGGGAUUUUCAUUUUUUGAUGGAAUGCCAAUUACCUUUCCACCCCCUCUUUUGGUGCAGGAAGAGAUUGUUUUUGUCUUAUGCCUACUGGAGGAGGCAAGUCGAUGUGUUAUCAGAUUCAUGCACUGGCCAAAACAGGAAUUGUGCUUGUUGUUUGUCCUUUAAUAGGCACAAUUGUGAUUUCUGACUUUUGUUCUGUUGACAGCCUUAAUGAAAAACCAAGUAAUGGCAUUAAAAGAGAAAGGUAUUGAUGCUGAAUUUCUCUCCUCAACAAUAUCAACUGAUGCAAAAAAUAAGAUUCAUGACGAUCUUGAUUCUGGAAAACCCUCUACAAGGCUGCUAUAUGUGACUCCAGAGUUGAUAGCAACAGCGGGGUUUAUGCCAAAGCUGAAAAAGAUUUACGCUAGG